UACGGAGGGUGCAAGCGUUAUCCGGAUUUAUUGGGUUUAAAGGGUCCGUAGGCGGAUCUGUAAGUCAGUGGUGAAAUCUCACAGCUUAACUGUGAAACUGCCAUUGAUACUGCAGGUCUUGAGUGUUAUUGAAGUAUCUGGAAUAAGUAGUGUAGCGGUGAAAUGCAUAGAUAUUACUUAGAACACCAAUUGCGAAGGCAGGUUACUAAGCAACAACUGACGCUGAUGGACGAAAGCGUGGGGAGCGAACAGG
rnacentral:rRNA from 1 species